rnacentral:lncRNA from 1 species
GGUGGUUCAUUUAUUUAUUUGCUUGGGUUUGUCCCUUUAAAAGGAAAAAUCUGCUCCACAACCAACUAACAGUGCAUUAGAAAGGGAACAGCCCAUUUCCCCCCAGCUCUUGCAUCCCCUGGCAGAUGCUCUGCUCUUUCUGCAGUGUCCUUGGUGGCGUUGCAACCGCAUGUCCCCACGCAGGACAUGCUGACACAGCCCUGAGCAGACAUUGCCUCACCAGGCUCUGCCCCAAGCUCCAGAGGUCCCUACGAAGCCCAGGGCUCCCAUCAGGCUCUGUCUGUGGACAGCACACACAGAAAUCAAACUGCAAUCUCCUACCAGGCUGCAGCACGGAGGAGACUGAACUAUUCUGAUUAAUGAGAGCUGAUGCACAUCCAAGCCCCACUUUCUCACCGGGUGAUGCACAAUAAAGAAAACUCCCUGCCAACGACAUGUCAGGUCAGGAGGGGGAAUGAGAAUAAUACAUCAGUUGAUCAGCAGGGCUCAGGAAGGGCAGCACACCUAAAGAGCCAGCAAGACCUUUAAUAGCAGAAAUGUUUUCCUGUGCAGGAGGCUGUUGCUUUUGUGACAGGAAGGCAGCAGGGAGCCGAGGGGAGUUUGUUCCUGGGUGAGGUCUGAUGGAUGACGAACAAUGUUGGCUGCAGCCAGCAGCGAUUCUGGGGACUGGGCAGUGAUCUCUGAGCUGCAGUUAAGUGGCAGCUUGGUUGCUGCUUUCUAUGAGGAGUUUAUGAGUGCAAAACCUCAGGUUCACCGAGGCUGGCAGCUCACAGAAAUUAGCCCAUGUGGCUUGAUCUUCCCUUGACAUAAAACUGGGAAGUCAUUGGAACUAUAAUAGAUGUGCAAACAAAAGCUGAUUUGCAGCAGCUAAGCAUCUGCUCCCUUCUGCGGACCUGACUUCAGAGGAACCAGGCAGAUUUAUGCUUUCAGGGAAUCUGACCCUAGACACGUGGUGGGUUCCAAGGUGACAGUCAUUCCCUGGUAUCAGGGCACCGGUCUGUCCCCUGCAUUCAUCUUAAAACCUUACCUGCUGUGCCCAUCUGGUCCAGACAUCAAGAUCAAUAUUGUCAGUGAAUGGCACUGAGAUUUGCACACAAAACUGUGCAGUCGAUCAAAAAGUUUGCAGAAUUGGUUUCUCGCCACCCCUUGGCUAUUCCAGUGCCCAGAGGGUGUUAGCAAUGUCUAAAAGCACUGACCUCUCACUUCUGCACAGCUGCUGUUAUAUUGUGAGUAGCCUUAUUCACCUCCCAAAGGGCCAGAGAGCGUAUGGCAUCAAGGCACUGCCUCAGCAGUGCUGGGUAGGGGGGACCUGAAAGGCAGAGGUGGGAGGAACGAUUUCCUCAGCCCCUCUGGUGAUCAAUUACUGAGUGAAAGAUGAAAGAUGAGUGCAUCCAGGGCAAAUCUGCUCUGAUGAAUAAUACCAUAAUGUUUGAAGAAAGGAAAACCCGACGUGGUGCUCAGCACCUGAUGGAAAAGGAGAUGGUCCAGUGCAAGCCAGGCUGCAAAAGGGAGACAGAAACACUCCGUUGCCUUGAAUUCAAUCUUGCGCCUGUUUCAUCCUCUCUCUGAACUUACCAGGCAUUGAUUUGUGCCCCUGUGCACUUACAGACAGACAAACUUCAUCUGAGCCGGUGCCAGCCCCGGAGCUGGGUUUUUCGUUGUGCUCAGCACGCUGCGGGUGACUAAGAGGUUUCUGAUUAAUGGGAGAGGGUAAAGUCUGCUCAAAGCAAUAGAACACCCUGACUGAGCCAGGAAAGCAAGUUUGGGCCUGCCACAUACUGUAAUAUUGCAAGUGGUGAUAACCUACAGCAAUGAGAUGUACUGUAACCCCGCGAUGGGCUAUGUAGGGAACUCAUUCUAAAAGCAAGCAGGAUUCAGUGCCUGCCAGGGCACCUGGGCUCCAGCACUGGCUAAUGCAUUUCUCUUCUUGGUAAUUCUCUAAGGAGAGAAUUACUGUUACCUGCAUUUUGCAGGCAGAUAAUUUAGGUUUAGCCCAAAGAACAUGUUGAGCAGAACAGAGAAUGAAACCUCAGUCUCCUUAACCAGAGCUUGGUGUCCCAGAGUCAGAGCCAUCCAUCCUUCAGCAGGUGCCUGGAGGCAGGAAGGAAGGGAAGACAUUUUAGUGCUGAUGCACCAGAGCAAUAGAGUAUAGAAGCAGAAGAAAAAUGUCACUGCAUGAGGAAGUAACAUCCCCUGCUGGGAGCAUCACUGAGUGGAACAGAAAGGUCUGCGCUUUUCCUGCAAGAAAACACACACUGAAAAGAAACUGAGAGGCAAAAACUAGGACACAAGCUUCCCCUUCAAUCAAAUCUCAUAUGUGGAGGAGAAGGGGUAGAGCAGAUCCUCGCUAACAAGCGGGGGCUGCUGCAGCAGGGCAGAGGUCUCCCCUUCCUCGCCUGGGGUUGGUACACGGCACAUCACUCGCUCAGGGUACAUUGGAGUGUGCCCCAUAUUGCUGCUGCGAAGAUCUGCCUCUGCAUUUUGGGACUGACUGAUGCCAGAGUCUCCCUAACGCAGAACUGAUGAGACAGGAGAAAGGACAGGCUGUACCUGGGAGAAAAGGAGAGAAAGAGGGAACACAUUUGGGCUAAAAGCACACUCUGGAAGUGAGGGUUAGCUCAUACGUUUAUAUCACAGCUCUGUUUCAGGAGUGCUGUUGGAUCAGGCUCCUCUUAGAGGCGUGGAGGAGAUUUCUGCUCCUUGGGGCACUCCAGGAUGUAACACUGCUGCAAACCUUGUGGCUUUUGGCAUUUUUCUUGACAGCUACUCAACAGCUUUCCCUGCUCUAGCCUUUAAGGAUCAAUCACUCAUUCUAAUGCCUAAGGUAAUUCUGUUCCUCCUUACAUCAAGCAAGAUGUGCUGCUAACGUUGCUGGGUCCAAGGACUUAAUUAGCAUUUGACCUGUUAAACUGAAGUCCUCUAAUGCAGCUGGUGCAAAAUCUGAACUGUUAUUAAUCCCAUCUCAAACUUUGGUCUUGAGGGUCAUUGCAGAAGAGGACUGUGAAAUGCUAACGGUAACAAACCUGAUGGGAACUAUCAAUAGAAUGGCAAAAGGUCUGAGGAGACCAAUUCAGACAUCAGGAAAAGAGACCUUUGCUGUUACCCAUAUCACCUGCUUCUCUUGGACUACUUCAGCCUUUAAUUAUCUGUCUCACACACUGAUUUCCAUAUGCAUUAAUAGCAGCUCACCAAUCCAGCAUUAUCUUCCUCUGUGUUAGAAGACGCUGCACCUCGUAGUAAGUGUCUUCUCCCCAGCAGGGUUGUCUGAGGAGGAAGAAAAGCAAUCUCCACCGGCUCCGGCUUCGGCCCCGGCCCUACCCUGCGGGCUCCGCCGGGCGCCGCUCCACCGCCCCCGGCAGCGGCCCGGUAGCGGCACUGCGUUCCGCUGCGGGAGGGAUAAGCAAGAAAAAAAGAGAGAAAAGCGAGAAAGGAAAGAAAAAAAUAAAGAAAUUAAAAGAAAGAAAUAAUAAAGAACAGAAGGAGGGUGAUGGCCUAGGGAAGGGGAGAGAAAGGAGAGGGGGCAAGAGGGAAGGACCAGGGAAAGGGAGAGUGGGGGGGGAAGGAGGGAGCGGGGCGAGGGGGAAAGGGGAAAUAGGGAAAGAGGAGCAGUGGGAAGGGGGAACGGAAGAGGGGGAAGGGGGAAUGGGGAAGGGGUAUCGGGGGGCGUCAGGGGCUGGGGGCCGAGAAGGGGGAGCGGGAAGAGGGGAGGGACGCGAAGAACCGGGGCAGGGGCGCGGGCGGGGAGGUGGGUCCGAG